ensembl:lncRNA SLC5A4-AS1 SLC5A4 antisense RNA 1
GCAUGCCAGAGGCUAGAGUCAUCUACCGCGCAUGCUGGAGGCUGGAGCCUACAGUGGCUCACCUCGCUGCUGCGGUUGGUGGCCGCGAGGGUGACUACAGCGCAGCCAGAAUGGUGAAAAGGUGGCAGAAUAGGCUUAUCUGACUUUGCCUGCCCAGUUGCUCCGUGCCAGGAGGAGGAGCCACUUAUUCCAUGCUGGAGGCUGGAGCUGGGGGCACCGCAGCUCACCUUGCUGUGGUUGGUGGUGGCGAUGGAGACUACAGAGCACCAGAGCGAGAGUGGUCACGGCUGAACAAUUUCAAGAAGCGAGUCGAUGUCUCAUCUCCCUAUCUUAUCUUGAAAAACCCGUGUACCUAAGUCGUGGAUGUGUCUGCUGCAUCCGCUGCAUCAGUUCACUUCUGAAGGAACCCCAUGAGGAAGGUGUAAUGUGCUCCUUUCGCUCUGUGGCUACUCAGAAGAAUGACAUCAGGCCCGAUUUCCAGCUGGGAAAGAUGGAUUCUAAAAUCAAGGAACUGGAGCCCCAGCUGACAAUUCUAUAUCAGAACCCAAAGACGCUGAAGUUCCAAGGAGUGGGCUGGCCUGUCCUGUAGAAGCUACCUCAUCGAUGUGCAGGCCCUGGAUGAGAAGCUGCUCAUCAUCAUCGCCCUGCAGUUCCUGCACGGCUACUACAAGCCCAUCCUGUUCGAGCCCAACCAGACCUGGCCCGGGCACGUGGCUGUGUGGCAGGACACGUGCUCCAUCGUGGCCAUCUUGCUAACAUCACGCAGAAGGUGCACCCCGUCAUCUGAUCUCUCACCAGCUACCCUUUGACUGCACCCAGGCUCUGGCCGUACCCAAGCCCAUAGGUGGGGUGGUGGUCUUUGUCGUCAGCUCGCUGUUAUACCUGAACCAGAGCAUUCCCCCGUACGGUGUGGCUCUCAGCAGCCUCACCACAGGCACCGCAGCUUUCCCGCUGUGCACCCAGCUGGGUGUGUGAAUCCCCCUGGACUGCGCCCAGGCCACCUUCAUCUCCCAUGACAAGAUGGUCAUCUCCCUCAAGGGCAGUCAGAUCUACAUGCUGACCCUCAUCACCGAUGGCAUGCGUAGCGUCCGAGUGUUCCACUUUUGACAAGGCGGCCACCAGCGUCCUCACCACCAGCAUGGUCACCAUGGAGCCUGGGUACCUGUUCCUGAGUUCUUGCCUGGGCAACUCUCUCCUCCUCAAGUACACCGAGAAGCUUCAGGAGCCCCCGGCCAGUGCUAUCUGUGAGGCUGCUGACAAGGAAGAGCCUCCCUCACAGAAGAAGCGAGUGGACACAUGGCCAGCUGGUCAGCCAGGGACAAAUCCGUGUCACAGGACGACAUGGACGAGAUUGAAGUGUACGGCAGCGACGCCCAGUCGGGCACACAGCUGGCCACCUACCUUUGAGGUGUGUGACAGCAUCCUUAACAUUGGACCCUGCACCAAUGCUGCCAUGGGUGAGCCUGCCUUCCUGUCUGAAGAGUUUCAGAACAACCCUGAGCCGGACCUGGAGAUUGUGGUUUGCUCCAGCCACAGGAAGAAUGGGGCUCUGUCGGUGCUGCAGAAGAGCAUCCAGCCCCAGGUGGUGACAACCUUUGAGCUUCCCGGCUGCUACGACAUGUGGACAGUCAUCGCCCUGGUGCCUAAGGAGGAGAAAGAGAAUCCCAAGGGGGAGGGCACGGAGCAGGAACCCAGCACCCCCGAAGCGGACAAUGACCACCGCAGACAGUGAUUCCUGAUUCUGAGCCAGGAAGACUCAACCAUAUUCCCGCAGAUGGGGCAGGAGAUCAUGGAGCUGGACACCAGUGGCUUUGCCACGCAGGGCCCCACGGUCUUUGCCGAAAACAUCGGGGACAACCACUACAUUGUCCAAGUGUCGCUGCUGGGCAUCCACCUGCUGGAAGGAAUGAAUCAGUUGUACUUCAUCCCUGUGGGCCUGGUCACCCGCAACAUGCAGUGCACUGUAGGCAACCCCUGCGUGGUCAUCAUGAGUGCCGACGGCCGCGUCACCAUGUUCCUGCUGAAAAGCACACUCCUAUAGUGGCUGCCACGACCACCUGGUGCUGCACAAGCCCCCGCUGCACCAUCAGCCCAACGUGAUCACGCUGUGCCUGUACCGAGACCUCAGUGGCAUGUUCACCACUGAGAGCUGCCUGAGCGGGGCUCACGAUGAGCUAGGGGGCCACAGUGGCUUGGAGGCCGAGAGCCUGGGCUCGGAGACUAGCCCCACAGUCGGUGAUGAGGAAAUGCUGUGUGGGGAUUUGGGAUCCCUCUUCAGUCCCAGCAAGGAGGUGGCCCGAAGAAGCAGCCAGCCCCUGCCGACUGGGACUCUGUACCCUUCCAGACAGAGCCCAUCCACUGGUGCCUGCUGUUGCAGGAGAAUGGCACCAUGGUGACCUGCCAGCUCCCCGACUGGCGGCUGGUGUUCUUGGUGAAGAACUUCCCUGUGGGGCAGCGGGUCCUCAUGGACAGCUCCUUUGGAGAGCCCACCACACAGGGCGAGGCCCGCAGGGAGGAGGCCAUGUGCCAGGAGGAGCUGCCUCUCUCGUCAAGGAGGUGCUGCUGGUUGUGCUGGGCAGCCGCCAGAGCACACCUUACCUGCUGGUGCAUGUGGACCAAAAGCUGCUUAUCUACAAGGCCUUCCCCCACGACUCUCGGCUCAGCCAGGGCAAUCUCAAAGUCCACUUUAAGAAGGUCCUUCACAACAUCAGCUUCCGUGAGAAGAAGCCGAAGCCAUCCAAGAAGAAAGCAGGUGGCCGCACAGAGGAGAGGGUCGGGCCCGGGGCCGCGUGGCGUGUUUCCACUACUUCGAGGACAUUUAUGGCUACUCAGGAGUGUUCAUCUGCGGCCCCUCACCUCACUGGCUCCUGGCGACAGACUGAGGGGUGCUGCGGCUGCACCCCGUGGGCAUCAAUGGCCCUGUCAACUCUUUCGCUCUGUUCCACAAUGUCAACUGUCCCCGCGGCUUCCUGUACUUCAACAGACAGGGCAAACUGAGGAUCAGCGUCCUUCCUGCCUACCUGUCCUAUGAUUCCCCGUGGCCUGUCAGGAAGAUCCCGCUGUGCUGCACGGUCCACUGUGUGGCUUACCAUGUGGAGUCCAAGAUGUACGCUGUGGCCACCAGCACCAACACACUGUGCACCUGCAUCCCACAUGACUGGCGAGGAGAAGGCAUUUGAGACCAUUGAGAGAGAUGAGCAGUGCAUCCACCCCCAGGAGGCGGCCUUAUCUAUCCAGUUCAUCUCCCUAGUCUGCUGGGAGGCUAUUCCCAAUGCCAGGAUUGAGCUGCAGAAGUGGGAGCUUGUGACCAGCACGAAGACAGUGUCGCUGCAGCAAGGAGACCAGGUCAGGCUUCAAAGGCUACGCGUGGCCGCCGGGACCUGCCUCAUGCAGGAGGAGGAGGAGGUCAUGUCCUGAGGGCGGAUCUUGAUCAUGGAUGUGACUGAGGUGGUGCCCGAGCCCAGCCAGCCCUUGACCAAGAACAAGUUCAGAGUCCUUUACGAGAAGGAGCAGAAGGGGCCCGUGACUGCCCUGUGCACUGCAAGGCCACCUGGUGUCGGCCAUCAGCCAGAAGAUUUUCCUGUGAAGCCUGCGGGCCAGCGAGCUGACGGGCAUGGCCUUCAUGGUCGACAGGCAGCUCUACAUCCACCAGAUGAUCAGCGUCAGGAACUUCAUCCUGGCAGCCGACCUCAUGAAGAGCAUCUGGCUGCUGUUACCAGGAGGAGAGCAAGACGCUGAGCCUCGUCAUGUGAUGCCAAGACCCUGGAGGUGUACAGCGUGGACUUCAUGGUAGACAACACCCAGCUGGGUUUUCUGGUGUCUGACCACGACUGCAGCCUCAUGGUGUACAUGUACCUGCCUGAAGCCAAGGAGAGUUUUGGGGGCAUGUGCCUGCUGCGCUGGGCAGACUUCCAUGUGGGUGCCCACAUGAACGCAUUCUAUAGGACCCUGUGCCAGGGAGCCACUGAGGGGCUCAGCAAAAAGUCAGUGGUGGGAGAAUAAGCAUAUCGCGUGGUUCGCCACCCAGGAUGGUGGCAUCGGGCUGCUGCUGCCCAUGCAGGAGAAAACCUACUGGAGGCUGCUGAUGCUGCUGAACGUGCUGCCACACCACACAGGCCUCAACCUCCGCACCUUCCGGAUGCUGCGUGUGGACCUCCGCACCCUCCAGAAUGCUGUGCUGCAAGCUGCACGGGGAGCUGCUCAACCGCUACCUGUACCUGAGCACCAUGGAGCAGCAAGCUGGCCAAGAAGAUCAGCACCAUAUCCGACAUCAUCCUGGAUGACUUGCUGGAGACAGAUGGCGUCACUGCCCACUUCUAGCUCCAUGGAUGUCGCUGCCACCACCACACCGCACUACCUCCCACCACCUUUUUUGAACAAAACACAAGGAAUAUAUACUUUCUGGAAGACCAUCUGAUACUAUGUAUCAAGAAUCUCAAAAAUAUUCAUAUACUAUAAUGCAAUAAGGCCAUUUCUAAAAAUUUACCCUGAGAAGAUAAUCCAGACCUGUGCUACAAUUUCCAUUACAGAGACAUCUGUUGUAAUAUUGUUUACGGAAGGGGGAAACAGAAAACAGCCUCCAUGUCCACAGAGGAAUGAUUAAAUAUGUGGUACACCUACAGGCUGGAGUGUAAAAUGGACACAAAAACAAGAAGAAAUGCUCAUGAGAAAACACAGUGAUAGACGCCUUUUCUAAACAGUUUCUGCUUUGUUUGGGACAACCCUCCAGGUCAUCCAAAAUGGAAGCUGAAUCAUAACAGGUGGACUACGUUUUGUAAAACUGAUUUGACACUAAGAAAACUUACUGAUUGAAAUGACUGAACUCUGCUCUUUCAAGAUAUUCCUUUUAAUUUUUUUGGCAAAGCUAGAUAUACUUUUUGAUUUGGAAUAAUAUAUCUCAAUGAAUUCAUUAAUAAGGUCAUAUAGUUCAUUUGUAUUCUGAUUCUAGGUAUAAAUUUUCACUUUUUAGAUUUUCUUAAGUUAUAAUUAUGCUUAUAAUUUGUUUUGGCAUCUCUUAUGACUAUCAAACUGAUGAUUUAAAAUACUUAUUCCCAAUGUAAGUGACAUGAUUUACUCACACUACAUUAUGAAAUAAUUUUUUCAUUCAAAAUUAAACUUCAGUUGUCCUUCUCUUUCUCUCCUUUUCUAAUCCAACAAAUCAGAUCUAUUUUUAUAUUUGUUUAUAUUUUUUAAUCAACUACACAUCCCUUUAAAUCUGUUUAUUGCUUUAGAAUUUGAAGGUUCAAAAAAGAGAAGGGCCUAUUAAGAAACUGUACAGAAGUUAGUACAUAUUUCUGGACACUUUCAAACAUGUAUUUCCUUAAGUCAACCUCUGAGUGUGAUCUUUUAAUAAAACUCAUGAGUCUCCCGGAAAUGAUAGGUUAGAAUAGAAAUUAUUUUAACUUCUGCUUUCUUAUAUGGAUUAAAAACUUGUGCAUAAUCGAAUUCAUAGAUUCUAAUAUAACAAAAUUAUCCUGAAAUUUCACUAAUAAAGGGGGAAAACUGUGAAGGAUUUUAAGCUCUCAUGAUGUUCAUCACUCUUGAAUAACAGAUGCUCAUAGAUUUCCGGUUUUAUGUAUUUACUUAUUUAUUUUUUUUGAGAUGGAGUCUCUCUCUGUUGCCCAGGCUGCAGUGCAGUGGCGCCAUCUUGGCUCACUACAACCUCCGCUUCCCGGGUUCAUGCCAUUCUCCUGCCUCAGCCUCCCGAGUAGCUGGGACUACAGGUGCCCGCCACCAUGCCUGGCUAAUUUUUUGUAUUUUUUAGUAGAGAUGGCGUUUCACCGUGUUAGCCAAGAUGGUCUCGAUCUCCUGACCUCAUCAUCUGCCCGCCUCGGCCUCCCAAAGUGCUGAGAUUACAGGCGUGAGCCACCGCGCCCAGCCCGAUUUCUGGUUUUAUUUUAAAGUUCUAUUUCAAAGGUCUAAAUCUCAAAGAAAGUCUAUCUUAAAAUUGAAUUAGGCAACUCAUAAAAACUUCCAUGACAUUCAUAUCACAUCUUCAGAGCUGUGGCCCACAGCUGGUUAGGCAGGGGGAAGGGAAAUGAAAGCAGACAGCUUUGGUGAAAGAAAGAGGUUUAGGGCCCCACUGGAUCAUCUCUUAUAUGGGACUACAAGAACUCCCUGGGUCUAGGUCACUUAGCGUGUUAGGGUCUACUGUGAAAAGACUUUGAGAACAUCUCUCUAAUUUUGAACUAUGACAACUAAGUUUCCAAAAGGGAGAACCUAAACCUUAGACCCCAAAUGGCUUUACAAAAUCAUUUGAGCUGUGAAUAAUCUCAUAGCAUAAUGGUGAAUCCCUAGGUUUAGUCUAACUUCGAUCAAGAUUCUGUAUUUGGGCCAAAAUUCAAACUGUUUAUGAGUGGUGUUUAUUCACUUUGUUUUUCUAUUCAUUGUUUGUUAUAAUAUGCACAUUUCUUAC